AGCGAACGCUGGCGGCAGGCUUAACACAUGCAAGUCGAGCGGGCAUCCUUGUGGUGUCAGCGGCAGACGGGUGAGUAACGCGUGGGAACGUGCCCUUCGGUUCGGAAUAACUCAGGGAAACUUGAGCUAAUACCGGAUACGUGCGAGAGCAGAAAGGUUUAUCUGCCGAAGGAUCGGCCCGCGUCUGAUUAGCUAGUUGGUGAGGUUAUGGCUCACCAAGGCGACGAUCAGUAGCUGGUCUGAGAGGAUGAUCAGCCACACUGGGACUGAGACACGGCCCAGACUCCUACGGGAGGCAGCAGUGGGGAAUAUUGGACAAUGGGGGCAACCCUGAUCCAGCCAUGCCGCGUGAGUGAUGACGGCCUUAGGGUUGUAAAGCUCUUUUCUCCGGGACGAUAAUGACGGUACCGGAGGAAUAAGCCCCGGCUAACUACGUG
rnacentral:rRNA from 1 species